rnacentral:antisense_RNA from 1 species
CUUCAGCGAUCCCAUCAGCAAGGGCCGGCCGGCCGGGCGGUCCUGCCCGUAGGUGGCCAGGACAGCCUGCGCCUC